UGGGGAAUUUUGGACAAUGGGGGAAACCCUGAUCCAGCCAUCCCGCGUGUGCGAUGAAGGCCUUCGGGUUGUAAAGCACUUUUGGCAGGAAAGAAACGUCAUGGGUUAAUACCCCGUGAAACUGACGGUACCUGCAGAAUAAGCACCGGCUAACUACGUGCCAGCAGCCGCGGUAAUACGUAGGGUGCAAGCGUUAAUCGGAAUUACUGGGCGUAAAGCGUGCGCAGGCGGUUCGGAAAGAAAGAUGUGAAAUCCCAGAGCUCAACUUUGGAACUGCAUUUUUAGCGACCAGGCUAGAGUGUGUCAGAGGGAGGUGGAAUUCCGCGUGUAGCAGUGACAUGCGUAGAUAUGCGGAGGAACACCGAUGGCGAAGGCAGCCUCCUGGGAUAACACUGACGCUCAUGCACGAAAGCGUGGGGAGCAAACAGG
rnacentral:rRNA from 1 species